rnacentral:rRNA from 1 species
AUUGAACGCUGGCGGCAUGCCUUACACAUGCAAGUCGAACGGUAACAGGUCUUCGGAUGCUGACGAGUGGCGAACGGGCGAGUAAUACAUCGGAACGUGCCUAGUAGUGGGGGAUAACUACUCGAAAGAGUGGCUAAUACCGCAUGAGAUCUACGGAUGAAAGCAGGGGAUCGCAAGACCUUGUGCUACUAGAGCGGCCGAUGGCAGAUUAGGUAGUUGGUGGGAUAAAAGCUUACCAAGCCGACGAUCUGUAGCUGGUCUGAGAGGACGAUCAGCCACACUGGGACUGAGACACGCCCCAGACUCCUACGGGAGGCAGCAGUGGGGAAUUUUGGACAAUGGGCGCAAGCCUGGUCCAGCAAUGCCGCGUGCAGGAUGAAGGCCUUCGGGUUGUAAACUGCUUUUGUACGGAACGAAAAGCCCUGGGUUAAUACCCUGGGGUCAUGACGGUACCGUAAGAAUAAGCACCGGCUAACUACGUGCCAGCCGCCGCCGUAACAC